GACAGAGGGUGCAAACGUUGCUCGGAAUUACUGGGCGUAAAGCGCGUGUAGGUGGAUUGGUGUGUCAGAUGUGAAAGCCCUGGGCUCAACCCAGGAACUGCACCUGAAACUACCAGUCUUGAGUGGUGGAGAGGGAAGUGGAAUUCCUGGUGUAGAGGUGAAAUUCGUAGAUAUCAGGAGGAACACCGUGGCGAAGGCGGCUUCCUGGACACCAACUGACGCUGAGACGCGAAAGCGUGGGGAGCAAACAGG
rnacentral:rRNA from 1 species